AAACCUUUAGGCAUCUUUUCCAUUACACGGUUGUUCAAACGUACGGUGUGUAAGCCGUACGGUUGAAAAAACGUGCUAGCUUGUACAUGAUACGGCAAAAUCACCGCGCGAGACAUUGGUAAGUACUGGCUAGUAGCGCUUUUUACUCGGGCUGUGUAGGACGUGCUGCGUCAUGAAUUUUCUUACGAAAAAAAAGAUUAUAGUUGCUUAUUACAUAUAUAGGAAAAAGAAAAUAGAAAAAAAAGGGAAGUAAGGUUUUGGAUACAUCCGAUUUUAGAAAAAAGGGAGGAAUAUGGCGCGUUUCAUACACUUGUCAAGAAUCAAUUGAGAGAAGAUGAAGACAAGUUUUACAAUUAUUUUAGAAUGCAGAAAACUACAUUCGACAACUUGCUCCAAAAAUUAUCCCAGGAACUAAAACAUCAAGAUACUUUUAUGCGAGAGAGUAUACCGCCCGCAGAAAGAUUGGCUGUAACUCUGAGGUAUCUAGCAACAGGAGAUACCUUUACUGACCUAUACUACAGCUAUAGAAUUGGAAUAAAAACCAUAAGUUGCAUCGUACGUGAAGUAUGCCACUACAUUUGGUUAGAACUGUAUAAAGAAUAUAUGAAAAUGCCAUCUAAAGAAGACUGGCUACACAUUGCAAGCAAAUUUCAAGAAUCUUCCAACUUCCCGCUGUGCUUAGGAGCGGUCGAUGGAAAACACAUCAGACUUAUUAAGCCAAUUGAUAGUGGCUCGAGUUUUUAAAUUACAAACAUUUUUUUUCUAUAGUUUUGAUGGCAGUAGUAGAUAGCGAUUACAACUUUAUAUUUGUUGACGUUGGCGCCUACGGAAAGGAGUGUGAUUCCAGUGUGUUUAAAGAGACCCCAUUUUGGAAAAAUUUAACAAACAACGGAUUAAAUCUACCCGAUGCAACACGUUUGCCUGGAAUUGACUACGAUUUGCCAUAUGUGUUCGUUGCGGACGAAGCCUUUGCUUUGCAUUAUCACUUGCUUCGUCCAUUUGGUGGUCAUCAGCUUGAUCAAUUAAAACGUACAUUUAACUACAGACUCACAAGAGCGCGAAGAUUUGUUGAAUGUGCGUUUGGCAUUUUAUCCAAUAAAUGGCGAAUUUUUCACCGGCCAAUGAAUGUGUCCAUCGAUUUGGCAGUUGUUAUUGUGAAAACAUGUUGUGUUUUGCAAAAUUUUAUACAUAAGCAGGAAAACUUUCAGUUUCACAAUGCGAGUGAAAAUGAGUCCACCCUUGAUUCAGAAUCGGAACUAAUCCAGUUACCUAUCACGAAUGCAGUUCGCGGAAGUUUGGCGGCUAAUGAAGUUCGCAACAGAUUUGCACAAUAUUUUGUAUCUAACGAAGGUCGCCUCUCCUAUCAAAACAACUAUGCAUAAGUAAAAAGUUAAUAAUUAAAUAUCUGUAACUUA